rnacentral:tRNA from 1 species
GGAGAAAUAGCUCAGUGGUUAAGAGUGCUGGCUGCUCUUCUAGAGGAACUGGGUUUGAUUCCCAGUUCCCACA